CUCCGCCGCUCCUCACUCUCUCGCCUCUGCUUCUCCUUCCCUCCUCUCCUCGCUCCCCUCCAGAAUGUUCAUCCGUAAUCUACAUAACUCCUCCUUCCCGGGGUCUGCCUGGCUCUCGGGGCCCUUGGCGCGCGCGCGCGCGCGCACACACACACACACACACACACACACAGAGACACACCGCGACACACACACACACACGCGCGCAUACACACAGCCCGACACACACGCACGCGCGCUUCUUAAAGGAGACGGCUCAUAAAGGAUUCCCCACUACGCCAGCAGAGGGGAAGAGGAGCCCACGGGAAAGAAAAGCAGGCGAGGUUAAGAAUAAAGAGUGUUCCAGGUAUGACAGCUACCUCGGUGAGGUGGAAGAGAGAAUUGACAAGGCAAAUUUCAUGGGAUAGCACAGAAGCAGAGACUUUAAGUCUAAACAGACCUAGAUUCAGAGCCGACCCGAUGCUGCUUGAAGAAGGCUGGAGGUAUGUUAAGGAGACAAGGGCUGUCAAGAAGCAGGGAUGUCUCUGGAAAGGUUCCCCUUGCUGCUGCCAUGUGAAGAAGGACAUGUUUGCUUCCCCUUCUGCCAUCAUUACGGAGUCUCACUCUGUUGCCCAGGAUGGAGUGCAGCGGCGAGAUCUCGGCUCACUGCAAGCUCUGCCUCCCGGGUUCACGCCAUUCUCCUGCCUCAGCCUUCUGAGUAGCUGGGACUACAGGCGCCCGCCACCACGCCCGGCUAAUUUUAUGUAUUUUUAGUAGAGACAGGGUUUCACCAUCUCUAUCUCCUGACCUCUUGAUCUGCCCGCCUCCGCCUCCCAAAGUGCUGGGAUUACAGGCGUGAGCCACAGCGCCCGGCCCAAAAAUCCAUUCUUAAUGGCUUUCUCUUCUGAUGCAAAAUCCUGAUUGCCUUCAAAUAUUACUAUUAGAUAGAAAUCUCCCCACCUUUAGCUGAAAGAGAUAAGGAGGUUUUGCACUGAGGAAACAAACAAACAAACAAGCAAACAACAUUCAUCAAUUUUUAAAAAAAGUAUGUAUUGAACUAUAGUCAGGUUCAAUGAGGAAAUGCAUUACAUUGUCACUAAACUGGCCUUAGUUGGAGAAAGAACACUGGCAGAUUAAUUAAAGUUAUUAGCGCUUAUGGUAGGAAACUGCAUGAUAUAUGUGAAAGAUCUUUUAGGGACUGGAAACACAGUGUAAAUUCAAACUCCUCCCAAAACUUUAACAAGGCUGGAUGAAAUGAAAGGAAUACUGUGAUUUCUACAAUUGACAACAGUGUCAGGCAUGCAGGAAACAAACAAAACCUUUUGAUGAAGGAAAAGUAACUUCUGGACAAAGUAUAAUUGGUUACAGGUAAACAGAUAUGUCAUCCAGGCAGAUAUGACAGUUUAUAGGAAAAAUAUAAUGUUAUGAUCUAAAAAAUGCAAGCCACAAACCUAUUGCCUGGGCAAUAAUUAGCCUGAAGUUGGGCUACUAAGGAGCUGGCUAAGCAGCAGUGAUAACACCAGAUACUGGAAGAAACUUCUGUGAUCAGAAACCAAUACAACUAGUGAACAAUUCACAGUAUUUCUAAAUCCGGGCACCAAGGAAGUUGUUUGGUUAGUCAUGAUGGAAGCCAGGAACAAAUAGAUCUCAAAUGUGUGAUAAUAAUUAUCAAGCGGAAUGUCUAGAAUAUUAUAGUGAGUGCCAAGAUUUCCAUCUAAGACAUUACCAACAUAGCAACUGAGGCAUGAAUUACAGGUUUUACACAAAAAAAGCAUUAUAAGAAUAAUACAUAUAAUAUAUUAACAGUUCAAAAGUGAAACAAACAUUUAUGAAUGGGCUACUCAGAUUUAAAAUAAAAUAUUGCCUGUUCAUUGAAUGCUUUCUGGAUUUUACUUUCUAAUUGUAUACCUCUCUUUCUUUCUUAAGAUAACUACUAUCAUAUAUUUGUUUUGGACUGCAUGUUAAUAAAAUUAUAUAAUAUGUAUUUUAUUAACUUCAUAAUAAAAAUACUUUUUAAAAUAAUAUAUUGAGAUUAAUCCCUGGUGGAUUGUGCAACUGUAUUUCAUUCAUUUUCACUGCUUUGCAUUCAAUUCAAUCCAUGUACAGCGUACCCAUCUGUUUUACUGUCAAUUGAUAUUUUUUUCUAGAUUUUUAAAAUGACAAAGCAGCAAUGAACAUUGCAACUUUAAAAUUUUUGGACCUGUUUCCUGGUUCACAUGUGUUAAGAGUUUCUUCAGAGUGUGUACCUUGAAGUGGAAUUAUUGGAUUGUUUUGUUUUUGCAUGUGAAACUUUAUUACAUAUUGCCAAAAGACUUUCAAAAAUAAUAGUGCCAACUUGCAGUUUAAGAAGCCCCAUGUGAAGAGACUUACUGCAUGUACAUACAACAUUUGGUGUUCUCAAACCUUUUAAUUUUUACUGUUCUAGAAAAUAUUCCUUUUUAAAAUUGUAUAUUUCUUUGAUUUUUUAAUAAUGAUAUUUGCUAUCCUUUUAAUAGGGUUUUUUUUGGCCAUUAUUUGUUAUUCUUCUCUGAAUUGACUUCUUAUAUAUUUUGUUCAUUUUUCUUCUUUUUUUUUUUCUUGAGAUGGCG
rnacentral:lncRNA from 1 species